rnacentral:lncRNA from 1 species
CAAUACUUUGUCAAACUUGCGUUUAAAGGAUCUCAAAUUUUUAUUUAACACAUAUUUUUUCAAUGGCUGAGAAAUUGAUGCACACAAAUUUACUUUUGUAACUACAUUUUCAGACUGCAGACCAACUAGAAACUAAAGAACUUAAGGGAGACUUCUUGUGUAACAAGGGAUUAGAAAUGACUUGGGGCUCAAGAUCCGGCUUCAAAUACUGAGCAAGCAAGUCAGCAUACAGC